rnacentral:rRNA from 1 species
AAAACUCUAAGCGGUGGAUCACUCGGCUCAUGGGUCGAUGAAGAACGCAGCAAACUGUGCGUCAUCGUGUGAACUGCAGGACACAUGAACAUCGACAUUUUGAACGCAUAUCGCAGUCCAUGCUGUUAUGUACUUUAAUUAAUUUUAUAGUGCUGCUUGGACUACAUAUGGUUGAGGGUUGUAAGACUAUGCUAAUUAAGUUGCUUAUAAAUUUUUAUAAGCAUAUGGUAUAUUAUUGGAUAAAUAUAAUAAUUUUUAUUCAUAAUAUUAAAAAAUAAAUGAAAAACAUUAUCUCACAUUUGAAUGUGAAAAACGAAGAGAAAUAUUUUCUUUUUCAAUCAAAUAAUACUGAGAAAUGUCUAGCAUAAAAAAUUGAAAUAUUUUUCAUCUAGAAUUGUCUCUUAUUAAUGAUUCGGAAAUAGAAAAAUCUUGGUUAUGUUAUUAUUCUUCGUUGGUUCGUUAAAAAUGGAUAAAUAAAAACUUUGCAUACAAGAAUUAAUAAAAAUGUUAUAACGAAUUUAAUUAAAUGUUUUAUCAUUAUAUAUAAAGAAUUUAUGGCAAGAUAAAGUUAUAUACAACCUCAACUCAUAUGGGACUACCCCCUGAAUUUAAGCAUAUUAAUUAGGGGAGGAAAAGAAACUAACAAGGAUUUUCUUAGUAGCGGCGAGCGAAAAGAAAACAGUUCAGCACUAAGUCACUUUGUCUAUAUGGCAAAUGUGAGAUGCAGUGUAUGGAGCGUCAAUAUUCUAGUAUGAGAAAUUAACGAUUUAAGUCCUUCUUAAAUGAGGCCAUUUACCCAUAGAGGGUGCCAGGCCCGUAUAACGUUAAUGAUUACUAGAUGAUGUUUCCAAAGAGUCGUGUUGCUUGAUAGUGCAGCACUAAGUGGGUGGUAAACUCCAUCUAAAACUAAAUAUAACCAUGAGACCGAUAGUAAACAAGUACCGUGAGGGAAAGUUGAAAAGAACUCUGAAUAGAGAGUUAAACAGUACGUGAAACUGCUUAGAGGUUAAGCCCGAUGAACCUGAAUAUCCGUUAUGGAAAAUUCAUCAUUAAAAUUGUAAUAUUUAAAUAAUAUUAUGAGAAUAGUGUGCAUUUUUUCCAUAUAAGGACAUUGUAAUCUAUUAGCAUAUACCAAAUUUAUCAUAAAAUAUAACUUAUAGUUUAUUCCAAUUAAAUUGCUUGCAUUUUAACACAGAAUAAAUGUUAUUAAUUUGAUAAAGUGCUGAUAGAUUUAUAUGAUUACAGUGCGUUAAUUUUUCGGAAUUAUAUAAUGGCAUAAUUAUCAUUGAUUUUUGUGUUUAUUAUAUGCACUUGUAUGAUUAACAAUGCGAAAGAUUCAGGAUACCUUCGGGACCCGUCUUGAAACACGGACCAAGGAGUCUAACAUAUGUGCAAGUUAUUGGGAUAUAAACCUAAUAGCGUAAUUAACUUGACUAAUAAUGGGAUUAGUUUUUUAGCUAUUUAUAGCUAAUUAACACAAUCCCGGGGCGUUCUAUAUAGUUAUGUAUAAUGUAUAUUUAUAUUAUUUAUGCCUCUAACUGGAACGUACCUUGAGCAUAUAUGCUGUGACCCGAAAGAUGGUGAACUAUACUUGAUCAGGUUGAAGUCAGGGGAAACCCUGAUGGAAGACCGAAACAGUUCUGACGUGCAAAUCGAUUGUCAGAAUUGAGUAUAGGGGCGAAAGACCAAUCGAACCAUCUAGUAGCUGGUUCCUUCCGAAGUUUCCCUCAGGAUAGCUGGUGCAUUUUAAUAUUAUAUAAAAUAAUCUUAUCUGGUAAAGCGAAUGAUUAGAGGCCUUAGGGUCGAAACGAUCUUAACCUAUUCUCAAACUUUAAAUGGGUAAGAACCUUAACUUUCUUGAUAUGAAGUUCAAGGUUAUGAUAUAAUGUGCCCAGUGGGCCACUUUUGGUAAGCAGAACUGGCGCUGUGGGAUGAACCAAACGUAAUGUUACGGUGCCCAAAUUAACAACUCAUGCAGAUACCAUGAAAGGCGUUGGUUGCUUAAAACAGCAGGACGGUGAUCAUGGAAGUCGAAAUCCGCUAAGGAGUGUGUAACAACUCACCUGCCGAAGCAACUAGCCCUUAAAAUGGAUGGCGCUUAAGUUGUAUACCUAUACAUUACCGCUAAAGUAGAUGAUUUAUAUUACUUGUGAUAUAAAUUUUGAAACUUUAGUGAGUAGGAAGGUACAAUGGUAUGCGUAGAAGUGUUUGGCGUAAGCCUGCAUGGAGCUGCCAUUGGUACAGAUCUUGGUGGUAGUAGCAAAUAAUCGAAUGAGACCUUGGAGGACUGAAGUGGAGAAGGGUUUCGUGUGAACAGUGGUUGAUCACGAGUUAGUCGGUCCUAAGUUCAAGGCGAAAGCCGAAAAUUUUCAAGUAAAACAAAAAUGCCUAACUAUAUAAACAAAGCGAAUUAUAAUACACUUGAAUAAUUUUGAACGAAAGGGAAUACGGUUCCAAUUCCGUAACCUGUUGAGUAUCCGUUUGUUAUUAAAUAUGGGCCUCGUGCUCAUCCUGGCAACAGGAACGACCAUAAAGAAGCCGUCGAGAGAUAUCGGAAGAGUUUUCUUUUCUGUUUUAUAGCCGUACUACCAUGGAAGUCUUUCGCAGAGAGAUAUGGUAGAUGGGCUAGAAGAGCAUGACAUAUACUGUUGUGUCGAUAUUUUCUCCUCGGACCUUGAAAAUUUAUGGUGGGGACACGCAAACUUCUCAACAGGCCGUACCAAUAUCCGCAGCUGGUCUCCAAGGUGAAGAGUCUCUAGUCGAUAGAAUAAUGUAGGUAAGGGAAGUCGGCAAAUUAGAUCCGUAACUUCGGGAUAAGGAUUGGCUCUGAAGAUUGAGAUAGUCGGGCUUGAUUGGGAAACAAUAACAUGGUUUAUGUGCUCGUUCUGGGUAAAUAGAGUUUCUAGCAUUUAUGUUAGUUACUUGUUCCCCGGAUAGUUUAGUUACGUAGCCAAUUGUGGAACUUUCUUGCUAAAAUUUUUAAGAAUACUAUUUGGGUUAAACCAAUUAGUUCUUAUUAAUUAUAACGAUUAUCAAUUAACAAUCAAUUCAGAACUGGCACGGACUUGGGGAAUCCGACUGUCUAAUUAAAACAAAGCAUUGUGAUGGCCCUAGCGGGUGUUGACACAAUGUGAUUUCUGCCCAGUGCUCUGAAUGUCAAAGUGAAGAAAUUCAAGUAAGCGCGGGUCAACGGCGGGAGUAACUAUGACUCUCUUAAGGUAGCCAAAUGCCUCGUCAUCUAAUUAGUGACGCGCAUGAAUGGAUUAACGAGAUUCCUACUGUCCCUAUCUACUUUUGCUCCGACAAGCAGGGUUAGAGGAAUCCUAUCGCUGUAUUAGUCGUCUCUUACGACAAGCAACAGCGGACUGUGGUAGUAUUCUCGCCCGCUAACCACACGGCAGAGAUGUUGAGCUAAACGCCCCUCCUCCUCAGGAACACUUCUUCCGCAAACAUUGCCAGCCGUUGAGUCUUCUCUUGAUCAUCCAGGAUUCCCUCGAAGAUCCAGUUUUCGCCAAGGCGCUGCACUCCAAGUCCAUCUAGGUCCCGCAGAUCUGCAUAUAGGGGGCAAGCGCACAAGAUAUGCAUCCAGUCCUCAUAUGGAUCACCACAUGCGCAAGCAGUGGUAUCGCUGAGGGCUCUCCCAUGCAAAAAUGCAUUGAACGACCCGUGCCCUGUAAGCAGGAAAGACGUCCUCAUCGAGAAUCCAAAGCUUGGAUCCCGAUAGGCAAGAGUAACGUAUGGGAUAAACCUAUGCGUCACCCGUCCUGGUUCGCUGUCAUCGUCCCAUCUGUUCUGCCAACUCUGGAUUAAACACU